rfam:Schistosoma mattheei strain Denwood, Zambia genome assembly, scaffold: SMTD_contig0002354
AGUAGCUGACGAGUCCCACAUAGAACGAAACGCUCGUUUUGGGU